UAUUCGUCCUGCUGUCUAGACUGAGGCCCCCAGUCCCAGGGUCCUGGGUUCCUGGCUUCUGGAGGGAUGUCUCUUGUCCUGUGUACCUUUGUGGCAGCAUUCUAGCUGCUAUUUCUUCCUUUCCUGAUCCAUGUCUGUUGUAGGUGACCUAGUCCCCAGCCCCUCUCCUGUGGAUGCUAUGAAGCCUUCUGAGUUCUGAGGGUAAUUCUGACUUGGCUCCUACCUGGGCCACAUCCUCCUUGGUCCUUGUUGCAGAGCCGUCUGGCCCUGGGGAAGGUGGUGUCACUCUCUUCCAUGGCCCCCAGCCAGAUACUCAGGUAGACCUAGGUCCUGUCUAUGCUGCUUAGAACCAAAGUGGCCCAGGGAAGCCAAAACUCAGGCUUGCGUCUGCCUAACUCUGCCUAACAACCAAGAUGAUUUUGAUGUGGCUGUGAACAAGGCUGGUAGAUGACAGCUAUAAGACAGCAUUCUUGUGCAGUCCCAGGAGCUCCCAUCUGCCCUCAGCCUGAACGUCAAGGCACUGAUUUGAUACCUGAUAUGCACACCCAAUCCAGGCUGAAGCCAUGAGAGAACAAUGUCUAUCACACAGUGUAACAGACAGUGUAAGGGUCUCCCCUUUCUCACUUCCUUUUCCUCUGGUCACUUUUAUCCCUGGGCUCCUAUCCCCCAUUUCUUGUGUAAUGUCUUUAGUCUACUAUAGAACCGUAAGCCUUGUUGACUCACUGUCUGGUCAGAACUUAGCUAAAAGGAUUAUUUUCUUUUUUCUUUCUCUUCUUUAUUAAAAAAAUUUAAUGUUUAUUUUAUUUUGAGAGACAGAAAAACACAGAGCACAGGCAGGGGAGGAGCAAAGAGAAAGGGAGACACAGGAGAAGCCCUGAUUUUGCCUCCACUAUGAGAUCUUGCAUGCCUCACUAUUCCUACCACAUACCCAGGUGACUUCUUGAAAUGAAGCUAGGUGAUAAGCAGAUGACGGACAAAAGUGAGGGAGAAAUAAUUGAUUUUGUUUUUUGUUUUUCCCUAAAGGACUGAGUUCAAAGUGCUUUCUACGUUUGCAAAUCAGAUUACGUUUUAACCCAAGUAUUAAAUUCAGUUGUCAGUUGUUUUGGUUAGUUUGUUCCCAGGUGAUCAGUGGGAGGAAAAUCAGAUUGGUUAUAGAAAAAAGAAAAGAGCUAUAUGUUCUCUGUACAUCCCAGCUGAAGUGUGAGUGAAAUUUUCAGUCCUACUCUGUAGCUAGAUCAUAUGAGAAUUGGGAAAAGAUGGACAAACACACAGAAGGACUGGGCAUUUUUUGCCUCACCAAGAUGAACCCCUGCGCCGAGUGAUUCAUGACAAUACUGAGGAAUGACAAUGUGGAAUCUGUUUCAAUAUGCAUUUUUUGAAAGAAUACAUGAAAACGGAAUGAAUCUCACUAAUUAGCUCACUCUAAGAGGCAAAGCCAAUAGCACUAAAAAAUUGCUCAUGUUGAAGUCCUAGUCAGUGACUAAGCAGUAAAUAUACCUACUUCCUGAAUCAUGGGCUCAAAUCAGGAAGUGACAUUCAUUAGUGCUUCUCAGUAUUUAGUCAUAUCUAGACUCCUGCAUCAUCGAUCUGUAGGUGCAUAAGUACUCUAAAAUUGGCAGCUAAAAAUAACAAACACUUAUCUUACAGUUUCUGAGGGUCGGGAAUCUCAGAGUAACUUAGUCGGGUAGUUGGAUGGUCUGACUCAGAACCUCCGUGACAAUGGCAAUUUAAGCUUUUGGGCAUGAUCUGCAAUCAUCUAAAGGCUGGGGCUAAAAGAUGCCUCCAAGAUGGCUGACUCCAUGGCUCUUGGCAGAAAGCCUUAGUUUCUCAUCAUGUAAGCCUCUCCCUAGGACAGCCAGAGGGUCUUCCUGAGAUGGCAGUGGGCUUCCCCAGAGUGAGUGAUCUGAGGGGCUGGGUGCAGGGAGAGGCAGAAGCCACAGUGUAUUUUAUGGCUUGACCUCAGAAAUGACAUGCCACCAAUUCUGCCGUAUUCUAUUAGUCACACAGAGACUAACAGUAACACCAUUAGGGAGGUGCUUACACAGAGUGUGAUCUUGUGUGUAACAAGAGCUGGGAUCAUUGUGACCAUCAUGGAGGCUGCCUACCAUGACUCCUUUUAAAGAAAAAACAAAUUCAACAGACCUCUGGCAUUGUGUUACUUGAACUUGCAAAGAGACGAAAGCAAGUCGAGACCUCUUUGACAUAAAUAAGUUGUACAAACAUGGGCUAUAACUUUUCAAAGUUUUGUUUGUUAGUUCAGAAUAAUCAGGCCUCAAAACCCCAAAACUUUGUCAAUGCUGGGAUACAAAUGUUAAUAAGGUGUCCCCUGAUAACUCUACGACUGUCUUGUUUGUUCACUUGAAGAUAAGUUUCACAUUGCAGUGUUAUUGAAACCUGCAUUAAGUAGAUAUCUGAUCCACUUACUGCUAGAAUCAACAGAAAAUUCUGCAUUGCUUUUUUACUGCUAUGCUUUUUGCUGAUGAAUGGCUGCAAGUUUGCCUGUGCAAAAAUGCAAUCUGCAUAAUACAUCUGCUCCCGACAUGAAUACGGUACUGGCUGCUACAGCACAAAUUCUUUAGAUUUUGGCAUGCCUAUAUUCUGUAGCCCCCAACAUGAUUCAUCUCUCCUAUCCCCUUCCUGAUUCGAACCACUGUAUAAUCUUCCUUUUCAGGAUGCUAUGACAUCGUUUGCCUUCCCUCAGCAUAAGAGAGAUCAUAAAUGAAAGUGCAAAGCAGUCACUGAAAUCCUGUGGCACUGAUCAAUUUCAAGGCGAUAUCUCAAGAUGGUACACAGCAUGCUUAUGUUAAUUAUUUAUCAUCACAGAAAUUAAAAAAAAAUGUGCUCACAACUUGUGACAUACCAAUAUAGCUGUUUUCUCGACAUAUAACUGCAUCCUAAGGUCCCCGUUUAUACUGAGAUGCCCAAUCAAAUGAAAAAGUAUCCAUGUUUAUUUGUAGACACAUCAGGCAUGUUACCCCAAGACAGAGGCACAGAAAGUGGGUCUCCACCGCCAGCACAUGACUCCAUUAGUCUUGCAAAUGAGAGGGUCGUACCUGGAGUCUUUCUAUUCUGACUCUCUUUCUCAUAUUCGUCCUGCGGCCUAGACUGAGGCCCCCAGUUCCAGCCAGAUGGCAAGUCAGCAUCUCAAAGGCAUAACCCAAGGGGCAGAACAGCAGUAGGAAUUAGGAAUCUGUUGCCGCCAUAAAGUUGGCUUCGCAUUGGAAAAUAGUAUCCAUAUGUUUGAGGAGAUUUUUGAACCACUUGGCACGACGUUCCCUGCCACCAUCCAGAAAAUGCCCUUCAGGCCUGAGAGCUUCUUAACAAAGGAUUCCCUGGCUUUGACACCCAGUAUGGCUUUCAAGGAUGAUAUGGAGCCUCUGACCCUAGACAUCUGGACUGUCAGCCACAGUCUGUUAUCAGACUGUGUCUAUCAGAACUCCUUGCCCAUCUGAGCAGAUAAAAGAAUUCUCACAAAAUGGAUUCCUCUCCGCUCAGAAGGCCCCUUGGCUCUCACGUCGCGUAAACCCUGGAGAGGGAGGCCUGGCUUUUACUUCUCCGUCUCUGUCUGCCGGGUUUAUUGCAACUGACACUAAUGCCAUGCUGGAGAGACACCGCACGUGGGGUCUUCCUGCUCAUCCCGUCUCCUGUCUGCUGUUAGGCGAUGAAUGGCCACUUAGUCAUUGAAAGGGACAAACAAAUAAAUUUCUCUCACACAGAACUGAAUGUGCACCCACUGUCGGCAUCUGUCAGAGUGCAGCAGUAGAUGGAGAAAGCCGUCCCUGUUCUGCUCUCUGGCUAAUCAGGAUGUGGCCUGGGGGUCCUCUUCCUGAGGACUAGAGAGAAAGCACCAGAAAGCACAGGGGAAGCCGUGUAUGCAAUGCGCUGAUGUUGACUUUGCUCCAGCGCCUUUGCUUUUUAAAAACAUACUUUCAAAACCCUGAAGACUUCUAGAAUACAAAUGGUUGGAGACAAAGAGAAACUGCUUUGUUAAGAAAUCCCUUGGGACAUUUCUCUGAUAUACUCAGGCUUCAGUUUGGGUGCCGAAGUUCCCAGAAAUCCAUUUUACUGAGGGUCGUGUUCAUUCUUUACUAUUGAACUGCUGCAGGGAAUCUGAACUAAAGCAUAACAAGGAGAAUGAGGAAAGCCUCGCAGCAGCUGAGCCACACUGGGGGCGCCCACAGCAAACGCCGAUCUGCCAGCAAUAAUUUUGGGUCUCCUGGGCAAAAAUCCCAUGCGGCUCGGUGACGGUCAGACUCCCCUCUCAUUGCUAAUGCAAAUGCAUCCUAUAGAUAUCACUGAAAAGGAUCAUUAAAAGUGAGCUCUACGGCUCUUGCUUCAGCUGCGUGCCUCCCAGGCUGGGAGGAGCCGGCAGUGUCUAGAAUCUCAUUAGACCUGCAGCCAGGAAGUAGUUUAAAGCAUUACAUCAUAAGGUUGUCAAGGGAACUGGCCAGGCUGCCUCUCUGGCAUCCUGUGGUCCAUGCUGACAUGUUCUAUAGACCAGGGGAGGAGUAGAGAGGUGGCCUGCAGCCUGAAGCAUGACAGCCAGCAGCCCAGGCUCAGAGAGGUGACAUUUAUGCUGGGAUAUCUUCUAGGCUGGAUCCUGAGAUAGGUCUCAGCAGUACAGCAAUUCUGUCGUCCACUGUGUGGUAGGAAAGACCCUCCCUGAUAUUAGCACCUGCCAGGAGCUCCGGAAGACUUCUUCCUGACCGUCCUCAGCCUGACAUCUGAAGGAGGCUACGAAGCUUGCUGAGGGCACCAUUCGCUCCCAGAGAGCCCAGGCCCCGGCUUCCUGUUGCCUUUAGAAUGGGACCCUGUAUUCGUUCUAUUAGUUCCCUGGGCUGCCGAACGAAGUGCCACCACCUGAGUGUCCUUAAACGACAGAAAUGCCUUCUCUUCUCCUUCCGGAGACUGGAAGUGUGAGAUUAAGGUAUCAGCAGCGCCAUGCCUCCUGUGAAGCCUCUAGGGCAGGAUCUGGCCCGGCCCCUUCGGCCCCUUAUGGCUCCAGGACUUGAAGCAAAAGCCUCCUGGCAAAGAAGAAAGAGCCAACACUGAUGGAAUUGGUGUAAGCCUAAAUAACCCUAGGCAGAGGGGCCGGUGCUGCUGGAGUUGGCUGAGCCCGAGAGUGAUGGGAUGUGGCUGGAGAUGGAGGCCGAGCCCAGGAAAUAAAAGAUCAGAAUGCCCUGUCUCUUCCAGAGAAACACAACGGAGGGAACAUCUCAGGCAAACUGACUUGUCUUGAAGGAGAUGUUGGAUCUGGG